CCUACGGGAGGCAGCAGUGGGGAAUAUUGCACAAUGGGCGAAAGCCUGAUGCAGCAAAGCCGCGUGAGCGAUGAAGGCCUUCGGGUCGUAAAGCCCUGUCCUCAAGGAAGAUAAUGACGGUACUUGAGGAGGAAGCCCCGGCUAACUACGUGCCAGCAGCCGCGGUAAUACGUAGGGGGCUAGCGUUAUCCGGAAUUACUGGGCGUAAGGGGUGCGUAGGUGGUUUCUUAAGUCAGAGGUGAAAGGCUACGGCUCAACCGUAGUAAGCCUUUGAAACUGGGGAUCUUGAGUGCAGGAGAGGAGAGUGGAAUGCCUGGUGUAGCGGUGAAAUGCGUAGAUAUUAGGAAGAACACCAGUUGCGAAGGCGGCUCUCUGGACUGUAACUGACACUGAGGCACGAAAGCGUGGGGAGCAAACAGGAUUAGAUACCCUUGUAGUC
rnacentral:rRNA from 1 species